rnacentral:misc_RNA from 1 species
AACUUUCAGCAACGGAUCACUAGGCUCUCGCAACGAUGAAGAACGCAGCGAAAUGCGAUAUGUAAUGUGAAUUGCAAAAUUCCGUGAAGCAUUAAAUCUUUGAACGCACUUUGCGCUCUUUGGCAAUCCAGAGAGCAUGUCUGUUUGAGAAUCAGUUCAAAUCUCACAUCCUUUAAUUGGAAACAAUUUCUGGGCGUGGAUCUGGGUUCUUCACUAACAGUGAAAUUCCUUAAUUAUAAGUUGCCUGGUGUACUAUUGAAAACGUAACCGGAAAGCAUGACCAAUGGACCGGCUUAGGCCAUGUUCUUGAAUGCUGAUAAAGGCCGUUGUAGAUUUUACUUCAAGUAAUAAUUUAAACACGAAAGUAGCAAUACUUUUAAGACUUGAUCUCAAAUCAGAUAAGACUACCCGCUGAACUUAAGCAUAUCAAUAAGCGGAGGCU